UACGUAGGCAGCGAGCGUUGUUCGGAAUUACUGGGCGUAAAGAGUGUGUAGGCGGUGCUCCAAGUCUGUUGUGAAAUCUCCCGGCUUAACUGGGAGGGUGCAGCGGAAACUAGAGUGCUAGAGGGUGGGAGAGGUAAGCGGAAUUCCUGGUGUAGCGGUGAAAUGCGUAGAGAUCGGAAAGAACACCAACGGCGAAAGCACUCUGCUGGGCCGACACUGACACUGAGAGACGAAAGCUAGGGGAGCGAAUGGG
rnacentral:rRNA from 1 species